GAUGAACGCUGGCGGCGUGCUUAACACAUGCAAGUCGAACGGUGAACACGGAGCUUGCUCUGUGGGAUCAGUGGCGAACGGGUGAGUAACACGUGAGCAACCUGCCCCUGACUCUGGGAUAAGCGCUGGAAACGGCGUCUAAUACUGGAUAUGUGACGUGACCGCAUGGUCUGCGUUUGGAAAGAUUUUUCGGUUGGGGAUGGGCUCGCGGCCUAUCAGCUUGUUGGUGAGGUAAUGGCUCACCAAGGCGUCGACGGGUAGCCGGCCUGAGAGGGUGACCGGCCACACUGGGAUUGAGACACGGCCCAGACUCCUACGGGAGGCAGCAGUGGGGAAUAUUGCACAAUGGGCGAAAGCCUGAUGCAGCAACGCCGCGUGAGGGAUGACGGCCUUCGGGUUGUAAACCUUUUUUAGCAGGGAAGAAGCGAAAGUGACGGUACCUGCAGAAAAAGCGCCGGCUAACUAUGUG
rnacentral:rRNA from 1 species